UACGUAGGGUGCGAGCGUUAAUCGGAAUUACUGGGCGUAAAGUGUGCGCAGGCGGCCGAGCAAGUCGAGUGUGAAAGCCCCGAGCUUAACUUGGGAACUGCGCUCGAAACUACUUGGCUAGAGUGUCGCAGAGGGAGGUGGAAUUCCACGUGUAGCGGUGAAAUGCGUAGAGAUGUGGAGGAACACCGAUGGCGAAGGCAGCCUCCUGGGCCAACACUGACGCUCAUGCACGAAAGCGUGGGGAGCAAACAGG
rnacentral:rRNA from 1 species